rnacentral:tRNA from 1 species
GCAGUGGUGGUUUAGUGAUAGACUUCUCAUCUUUCAUGCAGGAGACCCAGGUUCGAUUCCUGGCCAAUGCA